GACGAACGCUGGCGGCGUGCUUAACACAUGCAAGUCGAACGGAAAGGCCCUGCUUUUGUGGGGUGCUCGAGUGGCGAACGGGUGAGUAACACGUGAGUAACCUGCCCUUGACUUUGGGAUAACUUCAGGAAACUGGGGCUAAUACCGGAUAGGAGCUCCUGCUGCAUGGUGGGGGUUGGAAAGUUUCGGCGGUUGGGGAUGGACUGGCGGCUUAUCAGCUUGUUGGUGGGGUAGUGGUUUACCAAGGCUUUGACGGGUAGCCGGCCUGAGAGGGUGACCGGCCACAGUGGGACUGAGGUACGGCCCAGACGGCUACGGGAGGCAGCGGGGGGGAAUAUGGUCCAAUGGGCGGAAGCCUGAUGCAGCAACGCCGCGUGUGGGAUGACGGCUUUCGGGUUGUAAACCGCUUUCGCCUGUGACGAAGCGUGAGUGACGGUAAUGGGUAAAGAAGCACCGGCUAACUACGUG
rnacentral:rRNA from 1 species